CCUACGCGUGGCAGCAGUGGGGAAUAUUGGGCAAUGGGCGCAAGCCUGACCCAGCAACGCCGCGUGAAGGAAGAAGGCCCUCGGGUUGUAAACUUCUUUUGUCAGGGACGAAGACAGUGACGGUCCCUGACGAAUAAGCCACGGCUAACUACGUGCCAGCAGCCGCGUGAAUACGUAGGUGGCAAGCGUUAUCCGGAUUUACUGGGUGUAAGGGGCGUGUAGGCGGGACUGCAAGUCAGAUGUGAAAUUCCAGGGCUCAACCCUGGAACUGCAUUUGAAACUGUAGUUCUUGAGUGAUGGAGAGGCAGGCGGAAUUCCGGGUGUAGCGGUGAAAUGCGUAGAUAUACGGAGGAACACCAGUGGCGAAGGCGGCCUGCUGGACAUUAACUGACGCUGAGGCGCGAAAGCGUGGGGAGCAAACAGGAUUAGAUACCCUUGUAGUC
rnacentral:rRNA from 1 species